rnacentral:piRNA from 1 species
GACUGCAAUUUGCUAAAUAGUUAAGAUUUC